UACGUAGGGGGCGAGCGUUGUCCGGAGUUACUGGGCGUAAAGGGCAUGCAGGCGGUCAGACGCGUUUUGUGUGACAGCGGAGGGCUUCACUCUCCGAGCAUACGAAAGACGGUGUGACUUGAGGGCUCGAGAGGGACACGGAAUUCCGGGUGGAGUGGUGAAAGUGCGAUAGAGAUCCGGGAGGAACACCGAAGGCGAAGGCAGUGUCCUGGCGAGUAUCCUGACGCUGAGGUGCGAAAGCCAGGGGAGCGAACGGG
rnacentral:rRNA from 1 species